rnacentral:rRNA from 1 species
GAUGAACGCUGGCGGCGUGCCUAACACAUGCAAGUCGAACGAACCUGAUCUUCGGAAAAGGUUAGUGGCGCACGGGUGAGUAACACGUAGGUGACCUGCCCUGGAGUGGGGGAUAACUUCUCGAAAGAGAGGCUAAUACCGCAUACGCUCGGCCAUUCAGUUGGUCGAGUAAAGCUCCGGCGCUCCAGGAGGGGCCUGCGUCCGAUUAGCUAGUUGGUGAGGUAAUGGCUCACCAAGGCGAUGAUCGGUAGCUGGUCUGAGCGGACGAUCAGCCACACUGGCACUGACACACGGGCCAGACUCCUACGGGAGGCAGCAGUGAGGAAUAUUGGUCAAUGGGCGAAAGCCUGAACCAGCAACGCCGCGUGAGGGAUGAAGGCCUUCGGGUCGUAAACCUCUUUUCUGGGAGAAGAGACAAGGACGGUAUCCCAGGAAUAAGUCUCGGCUAACUACGUGCCAGCAGCCGCCGUAAUAC